GUAGGGAAUAUUGCACAAUGGGCGAAAGCCUGAUGCAGCAACGCCGCGUGCGCGAUGAAGGCCUUCGGGUCGUAAAGCGCUUUUCGGGGGGAUGAGGAAGGACAGUACCCCCGGAAUAAGUGACGGCUAACUACGUGCCAGCAGCCGCGGUAAAACGUAGGUCACGAGCGUUAUCCGGAUUUACUGGGCGUAAAGCGCGUGCAGGCGGUCAGGUAAGUCGGGCGUGAAAUCUCUCGGCUCAACCGGGAGGGGUCGUCCGAAACUACCAGACUAGAGGGCAGUAGAGGGAGGUGGAAUUCCCGGUGUAGUGGUGAAAUGCGUAGAGAUCGGGAGGAACACCUGUGGCGAAGGCGGCCUCCUGGGCUGCCCCUGACGCUCAGACGCGAAAGCUAGGGGAGCGAACGGGAUUAGAAACCCUAGUAGUCC
rnacentral:rRNA from 1 species